AGGACAUUCCCCUGCGUGAGUGCCCCGUCUGCGAGGUACAAGAUUUUGGCUAGUGGGCCAAGCAUAUCCAGUAACUUGUCUUGGGAGGCUUUGAGGCCCUUCUCAAUGCCCUUACGCGGGUCACGGCCCGCCCGCCACAUGAACAAGACCACAGUGGUAUCGAAUUCCGGCGUGUGUGCAUGCUUGUCCGGUAGACUGGGUCU